CCUACGGGUGGCUGCAGUGGGGAAUAUUGCACAAUGGGCGCAAGCCUGAUGCAGCCAUGCCGCGUGUGUGAAGAAGGCCUUCGGGUCGUAAAGCACUUUCAGCGGGGAGGAAGGCGUUAAGGUUAAUAACCUUGGCGAUUGACGUUACCCGCAGAAGAAGCACCGGCUAACUCCGUGCCAGCAGCCGCGGUAAUACGGAGGGUGCAAGCGUUAAUCGGAAUUACUGAGCGUAAAGCGCACGCAGGCGGUCUGUCAAGUCGGAUGUGAAAUCCCCGGGCUCAACCUGGGAACUGCAUUCGAAACUGGCAGGCUAGAGUCUUGUAGAGGGGGGUAGAAUUUCAGGUGUAGCGGUGAAAUGCGUAGAGAUCUGGAGGAAUACCGGUGGCGAAGGCGGCCCCCUGGACAAAGACUGACGCUCAGGUGCGAGAGCGUGGGGAGCAAACAGGAUUAGAUACCCGUGUAGUC
rnacentral:rRNA from 1 species